rnacentral:rRNA from 1 species
AGCAAGCUAGCGAUAGUGAGCGAAUCCCAAAAAGUGCGUCGUAGUCCGGAUUGGAGUCUGCAACUCGACUCCAUGAAGUCGGAAUCGCUAGUAAUCGUAGAUCAGAAUGCUACGGUGAAUACGUUCCCGGGCCUUGUACACACCGCCCGUCACACCAUGGGAGUGGGCUGCAAAAGAAGUGGGUAGUUUAACCUUUCGGGGAGGACGCUCACCACUUUGUGGUUCAUGACUGGGGUGAAGUCGUAACAAGGUAGCCCUAGGGGAACCUGGGGCUGGAUCACCUCCUUA